rnacentral:misc_RNA from 1 species
GUUAAUUCUCUUGCUGUUCCACGCAAAGCAAAAGAAGCCAUUGGUGGGAUUACUCGUCUUACUCAUGCUGAUGGGAGGUCUAUGGUUAUCAAUGUGGAAUAUAAUCAGCUUGAUCCACUGCUUAGAGCAACUGGAUUUCCUGAUGGUGAUGUCAAUAAUCAGACCGGCUUCUCUCCCUUUCCAGGAAAUAUCAACCAACUAAUUUUAGAACUUGGUCCCUAUAUUGAGGAGCUGAGCAAAACGGGAGGUGCUAUAAAGGAGUUUGUCAAUCCCAAAU